GAGAUCGGGGAUAACACCUAGGAAACAGAUGCUAAUACCCGGAUAACAACAGAUGAUGCCUAUCAACUGUUUUAAAAGAUGGUUCUGCUAUCACUCUUGGGAUGGACCCUGCGGUGCAUUAGCUAGUUGGUAGGGUAACGGCCUACCAAGGCGAUGAUACAUAGCCCGAGUUGAGAGACUGAUCGGCCACAUUGGGACUGAGACACGGCCCAAAAACUCCUACGGGAGGCAGCAGUAGGGAAUCUUCCACAAUGGACGCAAGUCUGAUGGAGCAAACGCCGCGUGAGUGAAGUAAGGGUUUCGGCUCGUAAAGCUCUGUUGUUGGUGAAGAAGGACAGGGGUAGUAACUGACCUUUGUUUGACGGUAAUCAAUUAGAAAGUCACGGCUAACUACGUGCCAGCAGCCGCGGUAAU
rnacentral:rRNA from 1 species